CAACGAGGAAUGCCUAGUAAGC
rnacentral:misc_RNA from 1 species